rnacentral:rRNA from 1 species
CCAGGUCGUUAAGGGCAUAUGGAGGAUGUCUUGGCGUUGAGAGGCGAUGAAGGACGUAGUAACUUGCGAUAAGUCUUAGGGAGCCGGUAAACAGGCAGUGAUCUAAGAAUCUCCGAAUGGGGAAACCCAAUCUGUUCUGCAGAUUACCCAUACCCGAAUGCAUACGGUAUGGGGGCGAACGCAGUGAACUGAAACAUCUCAGUAACUGUAGGAAAGGAAAGUAAAAACGACUCCGUAAGUAGCGGCGAGCGAAAGCGGAUCAGCCCGGUGUGAAUUUAUGUUUGUAAUACCUUGAAGUACCUGG